GGGGGCAAGCGUUAUCCGGAUUUAAUGGGUGUAAAGGGUGCGUAGACGGUGCGCCAAGUCUGGAGUGAAAUGGCGCAGCUUAACUGCGGCACUGCUUUGGAAACUGGCGAACUAGAGUGCGGGAGGGGUAAGCGGAAUUCCUAGUGUAGCGGUGAAAUGCGUAGAUAUUAGGAGGAACACCGGUGGCGAAGGCGGCUUACUGGACCGUAACUGACGUUGAGGCUCGAAAGCGUGGGGAGCAAAC
rnacentral:rRNA from 1 species